UACGUAGGGUGCAAGCGUUAAUCGGAAUACUGGGCGUAAAGCGUGCGCAGGCGGUGAUGUAAGACAGUUGUGAAAUCCCCGGGCUCAACCUGGGAACUGCAUCUGUGACUGCAUCGCUGGAGUGCGGCAGAGGGGGAUGGAAUUCCGCGUGUAGCAGUGAAAUGCGUAGAUAUGCGGAGGAACACCGAUGGCGAAGGCAAUCCCCUGGGCCUGCACUGACGCUCAUGCACGAAGCGUGG
rnacentral:rRNA from 1 species